rnacentral:rRNA from 1 species
GGAUCAGGUAGGAAUACCCGCUGAACUUAAGCAUAUCAAUAGGGCCGGAGGAAA